rnacentral:sRNA from 1 species
CACCCCAUAUUUAUCGUAUUUGGGGGUUUUUUAACCCCGGUGGAUCCUUUUGCUCCAAUGUGCGUUGCUUCAGCUUCAGAUAUUAAUUUCGAAUGUAUUUGAUUCAGCAAUGAACCACCCGAUCGAUUGAUAUUUCUUUGGACAAAAUAUCCAGGAAUAAAAGAGCUACAUUCCCCGGGUCCUCAAUGAAAGAGGGCAGGGAUCUGUAAACAUCAUGAUGAAGGGGAAGGGAAGAAAGAAUAUCAAACGCCAGUAGAAGGAGAAACUAAAGACCAUUAUCCGAGAAAAGAGCCCGGGUAUUGGCUUCAGCUGUCCGUGAUAUAGCUACCAAAUGCCCUAAAUGCAUCCUACUGAUACAAGCCUGGUUGAGAACUGUGCCGCCGGAACUCAGAUGAAUCUUAAGCCUAUCGCUAUAUCAGCCUAACUCGAUCUAAAAGGCCAAUAGUCACAAUUCCUAUCAGCAGGUGAAGGCGAUCGAAGAAGUUAACACUACGCAGUGGGG